GAUGAAGAACGUAGCGAAUUGCGAUAUGUAAUGUGAAUUGCAGAUUUUCAGUGAAUCAUCGAAUCUUUGAACGCACAUUGCGCCCUGUGGUAUUCCGCAGGGCAUGCCUGUUCGAGCGUCAUUUCAACCCUCAAGCCCCGCUUGGUGUUGGGCCCCGCCCGCUGUGGCCGGCCCUAAAGACAGUGGCGGCGCCGCCUGGCCCUCAGCGUAGUACAUCUCUCGCUCCAGGGUCCGGUGGCCGCCUGCCAGAACCCCCCAACUCUGUGGUUGACCUCGGAUCAGGUAGGGAUACCCGCUGAACUUAAGCAUAUCAAUAAGCGGAGGA
rnacentral:misc_RNA from 1 species